UACGGGGGGGGCAAGCGUUGUUCGGAAUUACUGGGCGUAAAGGGCUCGUAGGUGGCCAACUAAGUCAGACGUGAAAGCCCCGGGCUUAACCUGGGAAUGGCCGGUGAAACUGGCGAACUGGAGUGUGGCAGAGGGGGGUGGAAUUCCGCGUGUAGCAGUGAAAUGCGUAGAUAUCGGAAGGAACGCCGGUGGCGAAAGCGACGUGCUGGACCUCUUCUGACGCUGAGGCGCGAAAGCUAGGGGAGCAAACGGG
rnacentral:rRNA from 1 species